rnacentral:lncRNA from 1 species
CUAAUUUAAUCUAAGCAUGUAUAAGAUCAAAUCUUAAAAUCAUAAACAGGAUCAUCAUAUAUGAGAUAAAAUUUAGAUACAAAAAUCUAAUAGAAAAAAAUAAAUAGAGAACAUAUACCUUGGCAUAGAUAAAUCUUCAUCAUGAACUGAUGAUCAUGGAUGUUUUUCAAAGGUUCCUUGUAGCCGCAUAAGUGUCUGACCUCUACAAAUAUCCAC